AGGAUUAACGCUGGCGGCGUGCCUAACACAUGCAAGUCGAACGAGGUAGCAAUACCGAGUGGCAGACGGGUGAGUAACACGUGAUCAACCUACCGAAGAGUGGGGGAUAACUCGCUGAAAGGUGAGCUAAUACCGCAUAGGUCGGCGUCGGCAUCGACGCGUGACGAAAGGAGCAAUUCGCUCUUCGACGGGAUCGCGCCCGAUUAGUUAGUUGGUGGGGUAAUGGCCUACCAAGACAUCGAUCGGUAGCUGGUUUGAGAGAGCGACCAGCCACACUGGAACUGAGAUACGGUCCAGACUCCUACGGGAGGCAGCAGUGAGGAAUUUUCCGCAAUGGACGAAAGUCUGACGGAGCGACGCCGCGUGUGGGAAGAAGGCCCUCGGGUCGUAAACCGCUGUCGAAGGGGACGAUUUUGACGGUACCCUUGGAGGAAGCCCCGGCUAACUACGUGCCAGCAGCCGC
rnacentral:rRNA from 1 species